GUUGGUUCUAGAAAUUGAUCUAAUGGUUAAGAGGGGACAAACCGGGGGCAUUCGUAUCAUACGCGAGAGGUGAAAUUCGUGGACCGUAGUGAGACGCCCAAUAGCGAAAGCAUUGCCAAGAAUGUCUUCAUUAAUCAAGAACGAAAGUCAGAGGUUCGAAGGCGAUUAGAUACCGCCCUAGUUCUGACCGUAAACGAUGCCAUCUCGCGAUUCGGAGGGUUCAUGCCCUACCGAGGAGCUACCCGGAAACGAAAGUCUUUCGGUUCCGGGGGUAGUAUGGUUGCAAAGCUGAAACUUAAAGAAAUUGACGGAAGGGCACCACAAGGCGUGGAGCUUGCGGCUUAAUUUGACUCAACACGGGAAAACUCACCCGGUCCGGACACUAUUAGGACUGACAGAUUGAAAGCUCUUUCUCGAUUUGGUGGUUGGUGGUGCAUGGCCGUUCUUAGUUGGUGGAGUGAUUUGUCUGGUUUAUUCCGAUAACGAGCGAGACUCUAGCCUGCUAAAUAGUCGACGAAUCUUCGGGUUCGUAUAACUUCUUAGAGGGAUAAGCGGUGUUUAGCCGCACGAGAUUGAGCGAUAACAGGUCUGUGAUGCCCUUAGAUGUCCGGGGCUGCACGCGUGCUACACUGGUGGAGUCAGCGGGUUUUUCCUAUGCCGAAAGGUAUCGGUAAACCGUUGAACUUCUUCCAUGUCCGGGAUAGGGUAUUGUAAUUAUUACCCUUAAACGAGGAAUGCCUAGUAAGUGUGAGUCAUCAGCUCACGUUGAUUACGUCCCUAGCCCUUUGUACACACCGCCCGUCGCUAUCCGGGACUGAACUGAUUCGAGAAGAGUGGGGACUGUGGCUGCGAGGUUUUACCACUUCGCAGUUGCGGAAACCAUUUUUAUCGCAUUGGUUUGAACCGGGUAAAAGUCGUAACAAGGUAGCUGUAGGUGAACCUGCAGCUGGAUCAUCG
rfam:Caenorhabditis japonica strain DF5081 Contig9554.1, whole genome shotgun sequence.